rnacentral:rRNA from 1 species
AUCGAACGCUGGCGGCAGGCUUAACACAUGCAAGUCGAGCGCCCCGCAAGGGGAGCGGCAGACGGGUGAGUAACGCGUGGGAAUCUACCCAUCUCUACGGAAUAACGCAUGGAAACGCGUGCUAAUACCGUAUACGUCCUUCGGGAGAAAGAUUUAUCGGAGACGGAUGAGCCCGCGUUGGAUUAGCUAGUUGGUGGGGUAAAGGCCUACCAAGGCGACGAUCCAUAGUUGGUCUGAGAGGAUGAUCAGCCACACUGGGACUGAGACACGGCCCAGACUCCGACGGGAGGCAACAGUGGGGAAUAUUGGACAAUGGGCGCAAGCCUGAUCCAGCCAUGCCGGGUGAGUGAUGAAGGCCCUAGGGUUGUAAAGCUCUUUCACCGGUGAAGAUAAUGACGGUAACCGGAGAAGAAGCCCCGGCUAACUUCGUGCCAGCCGCCGCAGUAAAAC